rnacentral:rRNA from 1 species
GAUCCUGGCUCAGGAUGAACGCUAGCGACAGGCUUAACACAUGCAAGUCGAGGGGCAGCAUUGUUUGUAGCAAUACGAACAGAUGGCGACCGGCGCACGGGUGAGUAACGCGUAUGCAACCUGCCUAUCAGAGGGGAAUAACCCGGCGAAAGUCGGACUAAUACCGCAUAAAACAGGGGUCCCGCAUGGGAAUAUUUGUUAAAGAGUUAUCGCUGAUAGAUGGGCAUGCGUUCCAUUAG